rnacentral:rRNA from 1 species
AAGGAAUAUUGGUAAUGGACGCAAGUCUGAACCAGCCAUGCCGCGUGAAGGAUUAAGGCCCUCUGGGUUGUAAACUUCUUUUAUAGGGGAAGAAAUGUGACGGUUCUCCGUCACUUGACGGUACCCUGGGAAAAAGCACCGGCUAACUACGUGCCAGCAGCCGCGGUAAUACGUAGGGUGCGAGCGUUAAUCGGAAUUACUGGGCGUAAAGGGUGCGAAGGCGGUCUUGCAAGUCAGAUGUGAAAGCCCCGGGCUUAACCUGGGAAUUGCGUUUGAAACUACAAGGCUAGAGUGCAGCAGAGGGGAGUGGAAUUCCAUGUGUAGCAGUGAAAUGCGUAGAGAUGUGGAAGAACACCGAUGGCGAAGGCAGCUCCCUGGGUUGACACUGACGCUCAUGCACGAAAGCGU